rnacentral:rRNA from 1 species
GAGUGAAGUAUAAACCCCUUUACAAGUAUCAAUUGGAGGGCAAGUCUGGUGCCAGCAGCCGCGGUAAUUCCAGCUCCAAUAGCGUAUAUUAAAGUUGUUGCAGUUAAAAAGCUCGUAGUUGGAUUUCUGUUGUAUUUUUAUAAUAUUAUUAAGGUAAUAUUUAUAAUAUCAACAUCCUUCCUAUUAUAUUUUUAAUAUAUAGGAAAUUUUACUUUGAGAAAAUUAGAGUGCUUAAAGCAGGCAACUGCCUUGAAUACUCCAGCAUGGAAUAAUAAGUAAGGACUUUUGUCUUUCUUGUUGGUUCUAGGAUAAAAGUAAUGGUUAAUAGGGACAGUUGGGGGCAUUCGUAUUUAACAGUCAGAGGUGAAAUUCUUAGAUUUGUUAAAGACGAACU